GGGGACAUAGCUCAGUUGGGAGAGCAGCAGGCUGAAGUGUGUCCUCUUCAUCGCGAAUUUCUGAAGGUCCCCAGUUCAAUCCUGGGUGUCCCCA